UGGUCAAGUUAUUAAGGGUGCAGGGCGGAUGCCUUGGCACUAGGAGCCGAUGAAGGACGUGAUAAGCUGCGAUAAGCUUCGGGGAGUUGCACGUAAACUUUGAUCCGAAGAUUUCCGAAUGAGGAAACUCACUUAGAGUAAUGUCUAAGUAUCAUUAAGUGAAUACAUAGCUUAAUGAGGGGAACUCAGGGAACUGAAACAUCUAAGUACCUGAAGGAAGAGAAAGAAAUUCGAUUCCGUAAGUAGCGGCGAGCGAACGCGGAUUAGCCCAAACCAAUAAAGUUUUCUUUAUUGGGGUUGCGGACAUAUCAUAACGAAGAGGUAUCGUAAUUGAAGAGGUUUGGAAAGACCCACCACAGAAGGUAAUAGUCCUGUAUGUUAAACGAGAAGACUUUAGAUAUGAUCCAGAGUACCACGGGACACGUGAAACCCUGUGGGAAGCAGGAGGGACCACCCUCCAAGGCUAAAUACUACCUAGUGACCGAUAGCGUAUAGUACCGUGAGGGAAAGGUGAAAAGAACCCCGGGAGGGGAGUGAAAUAGAACCUGAAACCCUGCACUUACAAGCUGUGGAAGCACAUUUCUUGUGUGACCGCGUACUUUUUGUAGAACGGGCCAACGAGUUACGUUAAGUAGCAAGGUUAAGCACUUAAGGUGUGGAGCCGUAGCGAAAGCGAGUUUUAACUGAGCGUUCAGUUACUUGACGUAGACCCGAAACCGGGCGACCUACCCAUGAGCAGGAUGAAGCGAAAGUAAAAUUUCGUGGAGGUCCGAACCCACGAGCGUUGAAAAGCUCGGGGAUGACUUGUGGGUAGCGGUGAAAUUCCAAUCGAGCCCGGAGAUAGCUGGUUCUCCCCGAAAUAGCUUUAGGGCUAGCCUCAAGGUGAGAGAUACGGAGGUAGAGCACUGAAUGUCCUAGGGGGUAUUGCACCUACCGAAGACUAUCAAACUCCGAAUGCCGUCAUCUUAUACUUGGGAGUCAGACUGUGGGUGAUAAGAUUCAUAGUCGAAAGGGCAACAGCCCAGAUCGUCAGCUAAGGUCCCUAAAUGUAAGUUAAGUGGUAAAGGAUGUGGGAUUGCACAGACAACCAGGAUGUUGGCUUAGAAGCAGCCACUCAUUCAAAGAGUGCGUAAUAGCUCACUGGUCGAGUGAUCCUGCGCCGAAGAUUUCCGGGGCUAAAACUUACUACCGAAGCUACGGCAUCAGUAAUGAUGGGUAGGGGAGCUUCCCAUACGGGUUGAAGCAUGACCGUAAGGACAUGUGGACAGUAUGGGAGUGAGAAUGUUGGCAUGAGUAGCGAGAUGUGGGUGAGAAUCCCACAGGCCGUAAACCCAAGGUUUCCAGGGGAAGGUUCGUCCGCCCUGGGUUAGUCGGGACCUAAGCUGAGGCCGAAAGGCGUAGGUGAUGGACAACAGGUUGAUAUUCCUGUACUACCGAUAACCGUUUGAGAGAAGGGAUGACACAGUAGGAUAAGCUAAGCACACUGUUGGUUAUGUGUGCCCAAGCAUUGAGGCAGUCAAAGUAGGCAAAUCCGCUUUGAUAAUGCUGGGAUGUGAUGGGGAGCGAAAUUUAGUAGCGAAGUAGCUGAUUUCACACUGUCAAGAAAAGUCUCUAUCGAGGUUAAAGGUACCCGUACCGCAAACCGACACAGGUGGGUGAGGAGAGUAUCCUAAGGCCAGCGAGAGAACUGUUGUUAAGGAACUCGGCAAAAUGACCCCGUAACUUAGGGAUAAGGGGUGCCACCAUCAGGUGGCCGCAGAGAAUAGGCCCAAGCGACUGUUUACCAAAAACAUAGGUUUCUGCUAAGUCGCAAGACGAUGUAUAGGAGCUGACGCCUGCCCGGUGCUGGAAGGUUAAGGGGAUCUGUUAGAGCAAUCGAAGCAGUGAACUUAAGCCCCAGUAAACGGCGGCCGUAACUAUAACGGUCCUAAGGUAGCGAAAUUCCUUGUCGGGUAAGUUCCGACCCGCACGAAAGGCGUAACGAUUUGGGCACUGUCUCAACAACAGACUCGGUGAAAUUGUAAUUCCGGUGAAGAUGCCGGAUACCUGCGACAGGACGGAAAGACCCCAUGGAGCUUUACUGUAGCUUGACAUUGGGUCUUGGUACUACAUGUACAGGAUAGGUGGGAGGCUUUGAAACCAGGACGCCAGUUUUGGCGGAGCCAUCCUUGGGAUACCACCCUUGUAGUACUGGGACUCUAACCAUAGGCCAUGAAUCUGGUCUUGGGACACUGUCAGGUGGGCAGUUUGACUGGGGCGGUCGCCUCCCAAAAGGUAACGGAGGCGCUCAAAGGUUCUCUCAGUACGGUCGGAAAUCGUACGUAGAGUGUAAAGGCAAAAGAGAGCUUGAUUGCAAGACAUACAGGUCGAGCAAGGAUGAAAAUCGGACUUAGUGAUCCGGUGGUUCUGCGUGGAAGGGCCAUCGCUCAACGGAUAAAAGCUACCCUGGGGAUAACAGGCUUAUCUCCCCCAAGAGUCCACAUCGACGGGGAGGUUUGGCACCUCGAUGUCGGCUCAUCACAUCCUGGGGCUGUAGUAGGUCCCAAGGGUUGGGCUGUUCGCCCAUUAAAGUGGUACGCGAGCUGGGUUCAGAACGUCGUGAGACAGUUCGGUCCCUAUCCGUCGCAGGCGUAGGAAAUUUGAGAAGACCUGUCCUUAGUACGAGAGGACCGGGAUGGACGUACCUCUGGUGUACCAGUUGUCCUGCCAAGGGCAUGGCUGGGUAGCUAUGUACGGAAUGGAUAAGCGCUGAAAGCAUCUAAGCGCGAAGCCAACUUCAAGAUAAGAUUUCCCACCGUAAGGGUAAGACCCCAGAAAGACUAUCUGGUUGAUAGGUCGAAGGUGUAAGUGCAGCAAUGUAUUUAGCUUAUCGAUACUAAUAGGUCGAGGACUUGACCAAU
rnacentral:rRNA from 1 species